rnacentral:rRNA from 1 species
CACGUAGGGUGCGAGCGUUGUCCGGAAUUAUUGGGCGUAAAGGGCUCGUAGGCGGUUUGUCACGUCGGGAGUGAAAACUCGGGGCUCAACCCCGAGCCUGCUUCCGAUACGGGCAGACUAGAGGUAUGCAGGGGAGAAUGGAAUUCCUGGUGUAGCGGUGAAAUGCGUAGAGAUCGGAAAGAACACCAACGGCGAAAGCACUCUGCUGGGCCGACACCGACACUGAGAGACGAAAGCUAGGGGAGCGAAUGGG